AGUCCCUUGGAGGCGCGGUGUCCUUUUCAGCUAUGCAGAGGCACUGACUCUACUACUUCCCAAAGGCGUCUUUAGGCUUGAUGGUACACUCGGCAAUUAGAACGCUGUAUGGGGAUGUUGACUCGCGUUGCUUGGAGGGCGUGUGGAAGUGUUUGAACACAAAUAAUUCAGGUAGUAAAUCUCUUCCUCGUAAGAUGAAGCACAGGAAUGUUGACACCUACAGAGCUCGAUAUAACUCUUAGUGCUUCUUCUACCUAUAAUUGGAGACCCUUUAUAUUGCUGGAGGAGCGAAGUCUAAUCUUAAGUAAAAUGAAAUCGGCGACUCUGUGAGGGUGAAUGGGAGACAUUCUCCACUUUGUGGCGACGUGGCGAGAUCGGUUCCUGGUCUUUUCCUUUUUAUUUCAGAUCGAUUCCUGCUGGAGGCGUUAAAAUUGGAACGGGGCCAAGAUUUGUGGGGAACAGCUACCCGCAUCUCCUCAAAAGGAGAUCAGGAGAAGAUAACUUGAAUGAGAAUUCAGGUGCUGUGGAAUAGGUUUUAUUUUACCCAAGGAAGAUCUGAUCUUAAACUGAACCUCUAGGAGUUCCUCGUUGACGAUUGGUUUUCGCACUCUGCUGCCAAUCCGGUGGUGCGAAGUUCGAUUCCCGGCUCGGCCAACGCGGAAUCAGGGGAAUUUAUUUCUGGUGAUAGAAAUUAAUUUCUCGAUAUAAGUGUGGUUCGGGUCCCACAAUAAGCUGUAGGUCCCGUUGCUAGGUGACCAAUUGGUUCCUAGCCACGUAAAAAUAUCUAAUCCUUCGGGCCAGCCCUAGGAGAGCUGUUCAUCAGCUCAGUGGUCUGGUUAAACCAAGAAUACUGAACUUCUAGUGAUGUUGUAAGACUGCCGCAGCUGUAAUAAUCAAUUAGCGGUAGAAUUCUUUAAAAAAUUAGGUUUUACGCCUCUACAUGAGCAUUGGAGCAUCAUGGAAUAAAAUUUUAGAUUUUAAUGUGCCUUUCUGUAAUUGAAAUAAUCAAAAUUUUAACUUUAUGCAGUUUCUACCGAGCGAAAUUGGUAGAUGUAUCUUAUUUCCAUAGUAAAAGAAAACUGUUGAC